GUAACGGCGCUAUUAAGCGCCAUAUUUUGAGGUUUAAAAGGAGCA
rfam:Pseudoalteromonas luteoviolacea S4054 contig_15, whole genome shotgun sequence.